rnacentral:rRNA from 1 species
UGGGGAAUAUUGGACAAUGGGCGCAAGCCUGAUCCAGCCAUGCCGCGUGAGUGAUGAAGGCCCUAGGGUUGUAAAGCUCUUUCACCGGUGAAGAUAAUGACGGUAACCGGAGAAGAAGCCCCGGCUAACUUCGUGCCAGCAGCCGCGGUAAUACGAAGGGGGCUAGCGUUGUUCGGAUUUACUGGGCGUAAAGCGCACGUAGGCGGACUAUUAAGUCAGGGGUGAAAUCCCGGGGCUCAACCCCGGAACUGCCUUUGAUACUGGUAGUCUUGAGUUCGAGAGAGGGGAGUGGAAGUCCGAGUGUAGAGGUGAAAUUCGUAGAUAUUCGGAGGAACACCAGUGGCGAAGGCGGCUCACUGGCUCGAUACUGACGCUGAGGUGCGAAAGCGUGGGGAGCAAACAGG